rnacentral:rRNA from 1 species
AUGAACCGACUCGGGGAGAGGGAGAGAGGGUCUUCUUCUUCCUCCCCUCCGACUCCGACUCCGACUCCUCCCCCAAAUUCGGCCGGACUCAAUCCAAUCCAUCGAUCCCGCCGCCCCGUCCCAGUACCCUCCUCUUCCCCGACCAACCAAUCCGUGUCCAACGCGUGCCCCAGACCUGCCGCCGACGCCUCGGCGCCCCCGCCUCUCGCCGCGCUCCCCGACCCCUUGAGUUCCUCGUCGCGCCCCCGGCUGGGUUUUGAGGUACGCGCUUGGGUUCAUCCACCCGCCCGCCGGCCUCCGCGAUUUCUGGGUUCGCCUUGCCGGCGCGCCGCCUAG